AGAGUUUGAUCCUGGCUCAGGAUGAACGCUGACAGAAUGCUUAACACAUGCAAGUCUACUUGAUCCUUCGGGUGAUGGUGGCGGACGGGUGAGUAACGCGUAAAGAACUUGCCCUGCAGUCUGGGACAACAUUUGGAAACGAAUGCUAAUACCGGAUAUUAUGUGAGUUUCGCAUGAAAUUCAUAUGAAAGCUAUAUGCGCUGCAGGAGAGCUUUGCGUCCUAUUAGCUAGUUGGUGAGGUAACGGCUCACCAAGGCGAUGAUAGGUAGCCGGCCUGAGAGGGUGAACGGCCACAAGGGGACUGAGACACGGCCCUUACUCCUACGGGAGGCAGCAGUGGGGAAUAUUGGACAAUGGACCAAAAGUCUGAUCCAGCAAUUCUGUGUGCACGAUGAAGUUUUUCGGAAUGUAAAGUGCUUUCAGUUGGGACGAAGUAAGUGACGGUACCAACAGAAGAAGCGACGGCUAAAUACGUGCCAGCAGCCGCGGUAAUACGUAUGUCGCAAGCGUUAUCCGGAUUUAUUGGGCGUAAAGCGCGUCUAGGCGGUUUGGUAAGUCUGAUGUGAAAAUGCGGGGCUCAACUCCGUAUUGCGUUGGAAACUGUCAAACUAGAGUACUGGAGAGGUGGGCGGAACUACAAGUGUAGAGGUGAAAUUCGUAGAUAUUUGUAGGAAUGCCAAUGGGGAAGCCAGCCCACUGGACAGAUACUGACGCUAAAGCGCGAAAGCGUGGGUAGCAAACAGGAUUAGAUACCCUGGUAGUCCACGCCGUAAACGAUG
rnacentral:rRNA from 1 species